AGAGUCUCUAAUGCACUAAUGAUGACAGGGGCCUGGUUGUCACACACAGGAAGGUUCACAUUUUGAUCUCUGGGGUAGGCUUCGCCUAUUCUGAGACAAGUCAGAUCUUCAUAUAUAGAGAGUGGAUCAAGGAACAGCCUAUAAGGAAUGAACAAAAAGCAAACUUCAGAGGCUCGUAGAGUCCGCAGGAGGAAAAGCGGCUCAGUGUCAUUUCAGAUCAACAACUAGGCCUGAGCAUUUACUCCAUUCUGGGCACUUGGUCUUUAGUCAGCAGGGAAGAAGGAAUUUUAUGUGCACGGAUCAGGGGCAGGAAAGUCUGAACAGUGUUCAUUUGGUGAAGAAUUAGAAUGAGUGUGACACGGUAUUUUCCUCCCCUGAUGACUAUAGCAAUGGAGACCACACUGGCCAAAGAACCAUGGGGUUAUAGUGGCUGUGCUGACUCAGGUAGAUGUGAAACCCAACUCAUCCACCAAAACUGGCUCAAUGAAUACAUCCUGGACUGGGCACUUGGAGGCCAGAUGACUGCAAUCAUGCUACUUGGGCCCUAUGAACUAUUACAAGUCAUGCUCAUAUCCUGAAUGAGAGCACAGAGAUGGAUCAGGAAACCUGUGAAAGAAAAACAGAGUGAAAGCAUGACCUGAUAACCAUUCUCUGACAUUAAAAUUCAAGCUUCUUUUUAGCCUUGGGUUUUUAAAUUUCAAUUACAGCAAGACCAGGAGAAAGCACUGGAGGAUGAACCACCUUAAGACUCCUGGUGGG